AGGAAUAUUGGUCAAUGGACGAGAGUCUGAACCAGCCAAGUAGCGUGAAGGAUGACUGCCCUAUGGGUUGUAAACUUCUUUUAUACGGGAAUAAAGUGAGGCACGUGUGCCUUUUUGUAUGUACCGUAUGAAUAAGGAUCGGCUAACUCCGUGCCAGCAGCCGCGGUAAUACGGAGGAUCCGAGCGUUAUCCGGAUUUAUUGGGUUUAAAGGGAGCGUAGGCGGACGCUUAAGUCAGUUGUGAAAGUUUGCGGCUCAACCGUAAAAUUGCAGUUGAUACUGGGUGUCUUGAGUACAGUAGAGGCAGGCGGAAUUCGUGGUGUAGCGGUGAAAUGCUUAGAUAUCACGAAGAACUCCGAUUGCGAAGGCAGCGCACUAAUCCGUAACUGACGUUCAUGCUCGAAAGUGUGGGUAUCAAACAGGAUUAGAUACCCUGGUAGUCCACACGGUAAACGAUGGAUACUCGCUGUUGGCGAUAUACUGUCAGCGGCUUAGCGAAAGCGUUAAGUAUCCCACCUGGGGAGUACGCCGGCAACGGUGAAACUCAAAGGAAUUGACGGGGGCCCGCACAAGCGGAGGAACAUGUGGUUUAAUUCGAUGAUACGCGAGGAACCUUACCCGGGCUUAAAUUGCAAAGGAAUAAUCUGGAAACAGAUUAGUCUUCGGACCUUUGUGAAGGUGCUGCAUGGUUGUCGUCAGCUCGUGCCGUGAGGUGUCGGCUUAAGUGCCAUAACGAGCGCAACCCUCGCCGCCAGUUACUAGCAGGUAAUGCUGAGGACUCUGGCGGGACUGCCAUCGUAAGAUGUGAGGAAGGUGGGGAUGACGUCAAAUCAGCACGGCCCUUACGUCCGGGGCUACACACGUGUUACAAUGGGCGGUACAGAAGGCAGCUACCUGGCGACAGGAUGCCAAUCCCUAAAGCCGCUCUCAGUUCGGACUGGAGUCUGCAACCCGACUCCACGAAGCUGGAUUCGCUAGUAAUCGCGCAUCAGCCACGGCGCGGUGAAUACGUUCCCG
rnacentral:rRNA from 1 species